AUUGAACGCUGGCGGCAGGCCUAACACAUGCAAGUCGAACGGUAGCACAGGAGAGCUUGCUCUCUGGGUGACGAGUGGCGGACGGGUGAGUAAUGCAUGGGGAGCUGCCCAAUCGAGGGGGAUACCAGCUGGAAACGGCUGAUAAUACCGCAUACGCCCUGAGGGGGAAAGGUGGGGACCUUCGGGCCUACCGCGAUUGGAUGCACCCAUGUGGGAUUAGCUAGUUGGUGAGGUAACGGCUCACCAAGGCGACGAUCUCGAGCUGGUCAGAGAGGAUGACCAGCCACACUGGAACUGAGACACGGUCCAGACUCCUACGGGAGGCAGCAGUGGGGAAUAUUGCACAAUGGGGGAAACCCUGAUGCAGCCAUGCCGCGUGUGUGAAGAAGGCCUUCGGGUUGUAAAGCACUUUCAGUGGGGAGGAAGGGGCGAUGCCUAAUACGCAUUGUCAUUGACGUUACCCACAGAAGAAGCACCGGCUAACUCCGUGCCAGCAGCCGCCGUAACAC
rnacentral:rRNA from 1 species